ACGAACGCUGGCGGCGUGCCUAAUACAUGCAAGUCGAACGAACUCUGGUAUUGAUUGGUGCUUGCAUCAUGAUUUACAUUUGAGUGAGUGGCGAACUGGUGAGUAACACGUGGGAAACCUGCCCAGAAGCGGGGGAUAACACCUGGAAACAGAUGCUAAUACCGCAUAACAACUUGGACCGCAUGGUCCGAGCUUGAAAGAUGGCUUCGGCUAUCACUUUUGGAUGGUCCCGCGGCGUAUUAGCUAGAUGGUGGGGUAACGGCUCACCAUGGCAAUGAUACGUAGCCGACCUGAGAGGGUAAUCGGCCACAUUGGGACUGAGACACGGCCCAAACUCCUACGGGAGGCAGCAGUAGGGAAUCUUCCACAAUGGACGAAAGUCUGAUGGAGCAACGCCGCGUGAGUGAAGAAGGGUUUCGGCUCGUAAAACUCUGUUGUUAAAGAAGAACAUAUCUGAGAGUAACUGUUCAGGUAUUGACGGUAUUUAACCAGAAAGCCACGGCUAACUACGUGCCAGCAGCCGCGGUAAUACGUAGGUGGCAAGCGUUGUCCGGAUUUAUUGGGCGUAAAGCGAGCGCAGGCGGUUUUUUAAGUCUGAUGUGAAAGCCUUCGGCUCAACCGAAGAAGUGCAUCGGAAACUGGGAAACUUGAGUGCAGAAGAGGACAGUGGAACUCCAUGUGUAGCGGUGAAAUGCGUAGAUAUAUGGAAGAACACCAGUGGCGAAGGCGGCUGUCUGGUCUGUAACUGACGCUGAGGCUCGAAAGUAUGGGUAGCAAACAGGAUUAGAUACCCUGGUAGUCCAUACCGUAAACGAUGAAUGCUAAGUGUUGGAGGGUUUCCGCCCUUCAGUGCUGCAGCUAACGCAUUAAGCAUUCCGCCUGGGGAGUACGGCCGCAAGGCUGAAACUCAAAGGAAUUGACGGGGGCCCGCACAAGCGGUGGAGCAUGUGGUUUAAUUCGAAGCUACGCGAAGAACCUUACCAGGUCUUGACAUACUAUGCAAAUCUAAGAGAUUAGACGUUCCCUUCGGGGAAUGGAUACAGGUGGUGCAUGGUUGUCGUCAGCUCGUGUCCUGAAAUGUUGGGUUAAUCCCGCAACGAGCGCACCCUUAUUAUCAGUUGCCAG
rnacentral:rRNA from 2 species